rnacentral:rRNA from 1 species
UCUGGUUGAUCCUGCCAGCAGCGCUACGCUCGCGGCCGAGACUAAGCCAUGCAUGUCUGUUCUACGGGGCUGCGGAGAGCUCAUUAAACCAGUCGACCCUCCAGGAAAGUGGUUCUGAACACCGGAAAAGCUGGUGCUACUUCUCUAGCAGCGGGGUUCCCGAUGACGUAUCUUUUCCUACGGGUGACUGACCUAUCAGUUUGUGUGUCGGAUAUGGGCCGACGCAGACGGUAACGGGUAACGGGGAAUUAGUGUUCGAUUCCGGAGAAGGAGCCUGAGAGACGGCUACUACACCUAAGGGUGGCAGCAGGCGCGAAAAUUACCCAAUCCACUCGGUGGGAGGUAGUCAGGCCGCGUAGCGGCUUCUUUGUGAAGACCGCUUCAACGACAUAACAAAUUCAUGUCGGUUCAAAC